CAACUUUCAACAACGGAUCUCUUGGCUCUCGCAUCGAUGAAGAACGUAGCGAAAUGCGAUAUGUAAUGUGAAUUGCAGAAUUCAGUGAAUCAUCGAAUCUUUGAACGCACCUUGCGCCCCUUGGCAUUCCGAGGGGCACACCCGUUUGAGUGUC
rnacentral:rRNA from 1 species